rfam:Triticum aestivum genome assembly, contig: Triticum_aestivum_CS42_TGACv1_scaffold_342597_4DL
CUAGUACUCCCUCCGUCCCAAAAUUCUCGUCUUAGAUUUAUCUAGAUACGGAUGUAUCUAAAACUAAAAUGUGAAUAGAUACAUCCGUAUGUAGACAAAUCUAAGACAAGAAUUUUGGGACGGAUGGAGUAUCUG